GGGCCGGCCCAUCAGAUGCUCUGUUCCUCUGCUGUUCCCUGCAAACACACGCUCUUGGCCACCCCUCCCAGCCUGGGUUCUUUGAUGCCUGGAGUGCUGAGAUAUCUUCCAGAGCCCUUGGAGUGUGUCCUGCUUGCUGGAAAGAAAGAUCAAUUCCUGAUAGGAGGAACUCUCAGGUCUCCUGCUCUGGGCCAGUGGGGCUGCCAAGAAGAAGAAAGAGCCAGCAUCUGUUAGGAUCCUCUCAAUGCCAAGUCUUCACCUCAGCUGCAUCCUCUAUUCCAAUUCUGUCUGUUUGAAACAAAACUAGCCCAGCUGUGACACAAAAGGUGACAGGUUCUGUUUAAUGAAGCAGUUUCUUUUGCCUGGUUUCUCUGUGUUAAUUCGGGCGGGACGAGGAAGGAGUAACACUAUCUCCACAGAGAGAAAACAUUGUGAGUUGGAAUCCCUUAAACUGCUAAAGAACAAUUUGAAGACUUGGUGCUUUGUGAAUGGGGUUACCCAAAGGACGGUGGUAUGUGAAAGUCAAACAGGAAACUCAAGGUUAUUUUUAUUUACUUGUACACAAGAGGGACUUUAAGGAAACAAACUCUCAACUUUUAUAAGUCAAGGAUUCACUUUAACAACGGAGAUGUAAACAUCGCCCUCAAUGAUGUCCUUGGUCAUUGUGGUUUCCCUGCCUUUGGAGCAUAGCUCAGUUGGGUCUUCAGUCUGAACCACAGCCUCCAGAACUCAAGUGGCAAGUGCCAACAGGCUGUGCCUGAACCCCAAAGCCAAACAUCGCUUCCAAGUUGCUGCUACAGAUCCUUCCCUUCAGUGUGACUACAUCUCUCUCUUCCCUUUCUCUCAGGAGAUCCAAUGUUGA